rnacentral:rRNA from 1 species
UACGUAGGGUGCAAGCGUUAAUCGGAAUUACUGGGCGUAAAGCGUGCGCAGGCGGUUUCGCAAGUCAGAUGUGAAAGCCCCGGGCUUAACCUGGGAACUGCGUUUGAAACUGAAAGGCUAGAGUGUGGCAGAGGGGGGUGGAAUUCCACGUGUAGCAGUGAAAUGCGUAGAGAUGUGGAGGAACACCGAUGGCGAAGGCAGCCCCCUGGGCUAACACUGACGCUCAUGCACGAAAGCGUGGGGAGCAAACAGG